UUUGCAUAUUCCAAUAGCUGAGGAAAAGAAACCAACAGGGAUUGCCUCAGUAACGGCGAGUGAAGCGGCAAAAGCUCAAAUUUGAAAUCCCCCCGGGGAGUUGUAAUUUGAAGAUUGCGUCUUGGAGGCGACCGUGUCUAUGUUCCUUGGAACAGGACGUCACAGAGGGUGAGAAUCCCGUGCGGCACGGCCCCCGGCUCCUUAUAAGGCGCUCUCGACGAGUCGAGUUGUUUGGGAAUGCAGCUCAAAGUGGGUGGUAAAUUCCAUCUAAAGCUAAAUACAGGCGAGAGACCGAUAGCGAACAAGUACAGUGAUGGAAAGAUGAAAAGCACUUUGAAAAGAGAGUGAAACAGCACGUGAAAUUGUUGAAAGGGAAGGGCAUGCCGUCAGAUUGUCAGUGUGGGUAAGAAGCGGGGUACAAAGACUGUGGAACGUGGCCCUCGGGUGUUAUAGCCGCAGUUCAUGCCCCGUCUCUUUCCGAGGCCUGCUUUGAGGACACCGACGUAAUGACGGUACGCCGCCCGUCUUGAACCCCCGGACCAAAACGGGGG
rnacentral:rRNA from 1 species